CGUGUAGGCGGCUUCAUAAGUCUGAUGUGAAAGCCCUGGGCUCAACCUGGGAAGUGCAUUGGAUACUGUGAGACUUGAGUACGGGAGAGGGCAGUGGAAUUCCCAGUGUAGGAGUGAAAUCCGUAGAUAUUGGGAGGAACACCGGUGGCGAAGGCGGCUGCCUGGACCGAUACUGACGCUGAGACGCGAAAGCGUGGGGAGCAAACA
rnacentral:rRNA from 1 species